CCUGAGUGAGUGUGAGUGUGAGAGCGAGAACAGCCCGCAGGUCCCGAGGCGCUUGCAGGGGACUCUGCCGCGGAAAGUUCCCAGUCCCCAGCCGCAGCUACUCUGGAAAACAAGAAGAGAAACCAACCCAAACCCAACCAAAACACAAAAGUAUGUGAAAUCCUUACAGCAGAAAUGAUGAGCAUUUCUGAUAAGAGCUACCGAAUGAAGAGUAGUGCUGUCCCUGGAAUCACUUCUGGAUCAUCCUUCUCACCUGAUGCUGCCCACCUUGGAGAAUGAGGGAGAUUCAGAAAAGAGAACUGGUCUCACAGUUUGGAAUUCUCCCUUGAAAGUGACCACAGCAAUGGUGACCUCCUGUGACUCUUCUCAGUACCAGUGCUUUCGAUUCUCAAAUCUAUGUGAUGUUGAAGAUUACUAAAAUUCUGAGACCUUUCUACUUCUGCACUCAUGCUUACUCUGUGUCACUGGCUUCAUCUUAGACUGUGUUCAGGUCCAGGUCAAGGUUGACAAGCAAUUCAGAAGGUUGUCGUCCUUUACAGGGAAGCUUCUGUGAUCAUGAAUUUUCUACUCUAUUAAUAUUGUCAACCAUCUGUCUUCUGACAUCUUGACAAGCAUGUGAGCUGUAUUUACUAUUAUUUCAAUAAAGACCAGACAACUAUUCUGAGUGAAAACAUUCCACUGGUGACAGAAUUUUCAAAACAUAAGUAUUAUAUUCAGAGAUCUUCAGCAAUGAUCAUUAAAACAUCCACCUGUUUUUUGUAAUUGGGGCUUUUUUCCAAUAAUUUUUAUAUUUAACUAUUGUACUAUACCUUGGUAGUGUGAAUAUCUCAAUUCUAAAAAAAAUACAUACCGUAAUUCGUCCUCACGUUUGGGAUACCUUUAUUUGUUUCCAUUUAAAAAUCUGCAGAGUUUCUCUAGAGUGAAAAUCUCUGGCUUCUAACUUCAUCAAGAAGAGAGCUACUGAACAAUUUGAAUUAACCAGCAGCCAUCUUCUAAAAUGAAUUUUUUAGUGUUAGAUAUUCUUAGGCAUUAUAAUCAAUAUAAUUACUCAUCAUAUAGUGGAAAUGCUCUUAUUUUUAAAGUAUAUUUUCACGUUGUGUCUUUCAUUUUUCAGAUAUAUAUUUGUGGAAAUUAUAGAAAGUGUGGCAGAAAUCCUUCUUGUCAUAAUAUUAACUGUUUAUUGACUAUUUCACACAAAACUCAUUUAAGUAGUAUGUUGAGUACGUCAGCCUGUGCCUAUAGAUUAGCACAUAUUUUCUCAUAAUUGUGGCAAACUAAUUUGCAUCUGUAUGUAAUCAGAGUCAGGGCUUGUUUUAAUUUAGAUGCUGAAUUGGAUAAAAUUAGUAAUUAAAUUCAGAUCCAAGAAAGUCUGUAAGUUCAAUUAUUGUGCUUGGAAGGACCCAGACAUUAGGUUGUGUGUUUGUGUAUCAAAUAGUUUAAAAUAAUUCUGACAUUUUAACAAUACUCAAACUGGUAAAAACAAACAAACAAACAAAAAAUCAAGCCUUAGUCCUUCUGACAUAAUGCUCUUCUGUGUCUGUCUCUUUCUCUCUUAUUUCUUCAUUUAUUAUGUCCCUUCAGAGUAUCUUGGGUGUGGUCCAUCACCUCUAGGUACUUCUGUGGAGGACAUCCAUCAGCUACAUUAUUUUGAUUAAAUAUGUGGUUGGAGAUAUAAAGAAAAGGAGAAUGCUCACUUUUAACUUCAUAGAGACAUUCAGAUUCUGAAAGCUCCAUUAAGGCAGUUUAUUUUUUUUUUCCAAGAGUGGUAGACAAUGUUAAAAAAAAUACCUUGGUAAUAUGAAUGUUAUGCCUAUAGUCUUUUAGUCUAUAAAGACAUAGACUAUAGUAUUUUAAAUAUGAAUGGACUUUUCUUCUUUGUGUCUUUCAUUGAUUAACAGUGCAUUUAAAUAUCACUUUGACUUACUGUCCUUAUUGGCAGUGCUGCUGAUUUCUCUUGGAUCAUUUUACAUUUCAUUGACAUUUGCGGGACCACAAGUUCUGUCAGUCACUUGCUUUCUUUCAGUAUGCUUCCUAAAUAGCUCAUUGAUGUGCAGGGCCCUUGUUAUCCAUAUUCAAGUUAUCUGAACACACAAUUGGACAGGAAGAAUUCAGUUACUGGAUAGGAUCUGUGACUACUUAACAUGUAUGUAAUUAUUCAAAUAUUAAAUGAUUUCCUUGAGGUUUAAAUCAAAUUUCCAGUCAUGUGUUCAAUUGAAUAUUCUAAUUUAAGAGUAAAGAAGAAAUGCUGGUCAUUGCCAUAUUAAAAAUAAUUAUAAAAAUAACUCAGAAUAUUGAUGUAGAACCUCCAUACUACUAAAUAUAGUAUGUUUUUGUCUUAGAGUAAUAAGAUAAUUGAAAUGGUUCAAGGGAGUGCUAAGUGGAAAGGAAGAAGUCAAAGUCUCUUUGUUUGAAGAUCGUCUCAGUUAGGGCUUCUAGUGCUACAACAAAACACCAGGACCAAAAAGGGUUUAUUUGGCUUACACUUCA